GAGGCCAAGAGAUAACCUUUAGCCAUAGUCCUGAUUACAGCAGAGAACAUGGGAGCUCAUGGAGACCAAACUUGUACAGCAUCACACAGCAAAUGAGUGUCUGAGUUAGAAUUCUAACCCAGGAAUCGAAGCAAACACAGGGUCAACAAGAUCAAAUCCUUCUGGGUAAAAAUACCUAAGUUGCUCUGGUGUCAGUGGGCAGUUCUGAAGCCAGACAACAUGGAUGGAUGCCACACUCCUCCAGAUCUUCAGCUGUUUCCAAGGACUUGAAGCCUGAUCUGCCCACCCACGGCCUCCUGUGAAAGAAACAGCUACAGGAUGUAGGCAUUGCUCAGAGAACCCACCAUUGGGUGACCUAACUUCAGACUGACAGAGGACCUACAAGAAGGUUUAACCCAUGAGCUUGUGUCUCACUGUACUCAGCAAAGCAAAGUAAUAGAAAAAUUCUCCAAUUCACACUAAAGAACAAGAGCAAUGGUCACCAAGUCACAGCAGGAGGAAUAUAGUAGCUGAGAGUGGAUUACAACAUCCUGCUGGAAGUGUAAUUAUUUGUGGGUGCCUUAACUUCACUAUGGAAUCAAGAUGGUAAUCAGACAUUUACUUGUGGUCUAAUUUGCUCAGAUCAUCAUAUGAUUGCACCUAUGAUUUGGUGGCCAAAAGUUUAUGUAAUGCAACGAAAGCAUUCUGGGAGGAUCAAUUGGCAAAAUAAAAGUUAUAAAUUGGUA